CAGCGUCAGACACACAGAAUAUUUUCCAAUUUAAUUUAAUCACGUAAAGCCUCUCUAGUCGAGCCAUCGCUGUUUCUGCAAGACUUGUUGUCGUCAUGUUCUUUCCCGUAUUUGAGCAGAAGUGACACUCCAGAGAAUACCGCCUUACACGCUUCGCUGGAGAGAGAGGGAGCAGGCACCGAGGAGAGAAAGGUGAGAUGCUACCCAACGGAUGAACAUCUCACCUGAAAGAUGCUUUGUAUUGGCGCUGGCGGACUUUGACCACUACAACACGAGGACCAUCUUUCUGAGUUGAGGAGAACGGGUUGUGGCCUACAGAAGCUUCA